rnacentral:rRNA from 1 species
CCUACGGGAGGCAGCAGUGAGGAAUAUUGGUCAAUGGGCGCGAGCCUGAACCAGCCAAGUAGCGUGAAGGAUGACUGCCCUACGGGUUGUAAACUUCUUUUAUAAAGGAAUAAAGUGAGGCACGUGUGCCUCUUUGUAUGUAUUUUAUGAAUAAGGAUCGGCUAACUCGGUGUCACCGGCCGCGGUAAUACGGGGGAUCCGAGGGUUAUCCGGAUUUAUUGGGUUUAAGGGGAGCGUAGAUGGGUUUUUAAGUAAGUUGUGAAAGUGUGCGGAUCAACCGUGGAAUUGAAAUUGAAACUGGACGCAUUGAGUACAGAUAGGGAAGGGGGAAUUCGUGGUGUAGCGGGGAAAGGCUUAGAUAUCAUGAAGAACUCCGAUCGAGAAGGAA